rnacentral:rRNA from 1 species
AGCGAACGCUGGCGGCAGGCCUAACACAUGCAAGUCGAACGAACUCUUCGGAGUUAGUGGCGGGCGGGUGAGUAACACGUGGGAACGUGCCUUUAGGUUCGGAAUAACUCAGGGAAACUUGUGCUAAUACCGAAUGUGCCCUUCGGGGGAAAGAUUUAUCGCCUUUAGAGCGGCCCGCGUCUGAUUAGCUAGUUGGUGAGGUAACGGCUCACCAAGGCGACGAUCAGUAGCUGGUCUGAGAGGAUGACCAGCCACACUGGGACUAAGACACGGCCCAGACUCCUACGGGAGGCAGCAGUGGGGAAUCUUGCGCAAUGGGCGAAAGCCUGACGCAGCCAUGCCGCGUGAAUGAUGAAGGUCUUAGGAUUGUAAAAUUCUUUCACCGGGGACGAUAAUGACGGUACCCGGAGAAGAAGCCCCGGCUAACUUCGUGCCAGCCGCCGCAGUAAUAC